rnacentral:rRNA from 1 species
AGAUUGAACGCUGGCGGCAGGCCUAACACAUGCAAGUCGAGCGGGCAGCACGGGUACUUGUACCUGGUGGCGAGCGGCGGACGGGUGAGUAAUGCCUAGGAAUCUGCCUGGUAGUGGGGGAUAACGCUCGGAAACGGACGCUAAUACCGCAUACGUCCUACGGGAGAAAGCAGGGGACCUUCGGGCCUUGCGCUAUCAGAUGAGCCUAGGUCGGAUUAGCUAGUUGGUGGGGUAAUGGCUCACCAAGGCGACGAUCCGUAACUGGUCUGAGAGGAUGAUCAGUCACACUGGAACUGAGACACGGUCCAGACUCCUAGGGAGGCAGCAGUGGGAAUAUGGACAAGUGGGACGAAAGCCUGAUCCAGCCAUGCGCGUGUGUGAAGGUAAGGUCUUACGGAUUUAGGAAAAGUCCUAAGUUUUUAAGGUUGGGAAGGAAGGGCAAGUUUACCUAAAUUACGGUAUUCGUUAGUUUUGAACCGUUUACCGA